rnacentral:rRNA from 1 species
GAUGAACGCUGGCGGCGUGCCUAAUACAUGCAAGUCGAGCGAACGGACGAGAAGCUUGCUUCUCUGAUGUUAGCGGCGGACGGGUGAGUAACACGUGGAUAACCUACCUAUAAGACUGGGAUAACUUCGGGAAACCGGAGCUAAUACCGGAUGAUAUUUUGAACCGCAUGGUUCAAAAGUGAAAGACGGUCUUGCUGUCACUUGUAGAUGGAUCCGCGCUGCACUAGCUAGUUGGUAAGGUAACGGCUUACCAAGGCAACGAUGCAUAGCCGACCUGAGAGGGUGAUCGGCCACACUGGAACUGAGACACGGUCCAGACUCCUACGGGAGGCAGCAGUAGGGAAUCUUCCGCAAUGGGCGAAAGCCUGACGGAGCAACGCCGCGUGAGUGAUGAAGGUCUUCGGAUCGUAAAACUCUGUUAUUAGGGAAGAACAUAUGUGUAAGUAACUGUGCACAUCUUGACGGUACCUAAUCAGAAAGCCACGGCUAACUACGUG